GGCGACCGGCGGCGGGGAAAGGCGACGGCGGCGUGGACUGAACGAGCGAACCAGAACGGCGACGACGAGAUCCUGCUCCGGCGAUUGGUCCCCUGUUGAUCUUGAUGAAAACAUUUGGAAGGAUAUGAACAACGAAUGACCCACCAACUGCUUUUAGAACUGGCAUUUGAGAGCAGCAUAAUUUAUUUAUUUUUGCCACCGAAUAGAAUAUUCCAUGAGAUCGAAUUGAUGAUCCGUUUUUUUUUGUAUUACCAUGCAACGUUUCAUAAACAUUCUUGUAUAUUUAUUGCAAAUAUAUGAUUUUUAUUUGA